AUGGAGGCCUCCAACAGCCCUCUGAGCUUGGAAGUGGUUGCCCAAGAAGAACAGAAAGGCCACAAAGGUGACAAGAGUGAAGGCAAAAAGGAGCAGGAAGAGAGAAACUCCAGACAGACACUCUGUGCUGAUAGCGACAUUGAAAAGAUGCGCUUGGAUUUUGAGCUGGCCAUGGUGAAGCGCCAGCAUGAGGAGAAUGACAAACAGCGGCAACAUGAGGAAAGGAUGGAGCACAUCCGCCAGCAGUUGCCACCCAGGACCGGAGCUCGAGGGGAAGAGGAGCCCCACGGUGCCAGGCUGGACCCUAUCACCGAAAUUGAGUUGGAAAAAUUGCGCAUGGAGUUUGAGCUGGCCAAACUGAGGCACAUCUCUGAGGAGAAUGAGAAACAAAGGGAUCAUGAGCGGAAGAUGUAUGAAGACAAGGAGAAGCAGCGGCAGCAUGAAGAAAAGAUGGAGCAGAUGCACCAACGUCAAGGGAACAUCAGAAUGGUAAGCCAGAAGGUUUCCACCAACGGUAUGGCAGGAACACUGACUGAGGCGCAGUCUGCGGCCUCCGCUGAGAUGGGGAAGGUGAGGAUUGAGCUCCAGCUUGCUAUGGAAGUGUACCUUCCAGAAAUGGAGGAUAAGAAAAAGAACCAUCACUGUGAGCAGAAUAUCCUAAAGCUUGGGGCGGAAGUAGAAAGCAAACCUGAGGCAGGCAAAGCUCAAGUACCCCCUGAACAGCAGAACAAUGGUGUGACUGAACACCUGGGCCUACAAGUUCCCCGCAUUGUGGUCAAUGGUGCAGAGUCAAAGUGGUCAAGCAGCAGGCUGGACUUAGCCAUUGAGACCGAGUUGGAGAGGAGGCGGAUGGAGUUUGAGUUGGCAAGGCUGAAAUAUGAGCAUGAGGAGAACGAACGACAGCGUCGGCAUGAGGAGAAGAUGGAGCAGCUGCGUCAGCAAGGGGUGCCGCUCCGGGAGGUAAGGUCAGUUUCUGAAUGAAGAACCCAUGUCAUGAUCAUUGGCUGUCUUUCCUUCAUAUGCUGGAUCAUCACCCAGGAGAGAUGUACACGGAAAAGCCUUUUCAUUCUAACUAUAGAUCUCUUCUCCAUGUUGACAGUAUUAUAUGAUACUUUAUUGAAAUACUUCAGUAUGUCUGCUUUCAGAUUUAUUUUCACGAGACCAAUACUUUUAGAGACUAGAGCAUGGCUUGGAAUCACUAUGUUUAAGCACAGUUCUUGGAAUCUCCCAGCCCCAGUGCAAUUAAAAACAUAACAUUUGGUGCAUUUUUUCUUUUAAUUGCACAGAAAUCAUAUUGCGAGCAGGGGGAGACAAGAAACAUGAAAAUUAAAAAGUAAUGAAACAAAAUAAUGAAAAAAUUAGCCAGCUGGCAAUUAACUGAAAAUGCAUAAAUGAAAAACCAUGUAUGCAUAAAUUUCUAGGAAAAAAGGAAAAUUAUCCAGAUAUGUAUCCAAAGUAACACAUAUUUGAUUUAGCAUUUAAGAACUAUAGUCCCAAGCAGUAAAUUUUCUAUGUUCUAGAUUAGAGCAUCACUACAGCAGACUAUUUGCUUUCCAGUUCAAACUCAGUCUUUAAGAAUUUACUAAACUAUCAACAAAUACAUUUGACAUUCACAUCUGGAUUGUUCUGUAGGAGUAACACAUGCCUUUCUAGACACAGCAUCUUCUAGAUCAAAGAUGCCACAGUAGAAACUUAGUUUUCACAUUUACACAAUCUUUGAGACCAUGGAAGUUUCCAUCACAUGAUGGAACAAUUAAGGGUGCAGUACAGAAUUAAGGACUUGUUCAUUGAAAACGUGGGGCAGAAUCCUUUUGGUGUCUUACACAUUCAUACAUCAACCCUACAGAAACAGCUGAACAUUUCUAUUUCUGCCCAGUACAAAAUAGCUGAUUUCAGUUAAAGAUUGUGAAACCAGAGCUGCAGAUAUGCCAAUGCAUUUGUGUAUUGCAUUGCACAUGUGCAUUCGGUCAGACAACAACUCAACACAUUGAGGAAACAAUGUGCAAAUUCCAAAUAAUUCAGUGAGUGUAACUGUUCUGUGCUCUUGAUGUACAGUCUGAUCAAUUUAGAAGAUCUAUAAUCACCAACACGUUAGCUACUUGGCAAAUUGUAGGAUGUCUUUAACUUUUCAAUAAUUUGCUACAGUCUUCCUAAGCAUCUUUCUGAUAUGCAUAAUCAGUACAUUUCAAAGAGUAAAUACAACUGACCUUAAAGGCCAUGAGGGAAUACUGGGAUAAAGGCAGACUAAAAGAAAUAAUGAUGAACUCAAAGUAUUUGGAGCUUUGUCGAUGACAACCAGUGCCUUGAACUGAGCAUGAUGUUCUUUUUUUUUUGGUGUUUGGAAAGGUUAUGGUUUAAAUUACAACAUCGUUGUUUAAAAACAACUUUUCCAAGAUUUGUUCUUGGUGCACUUCUGCCAUGAAAUCUAGUCUCAAGUCACAAAUGGUGGUUCACCUCUGUGAGAAAAACCUGCACUCACCUUACCAACCAAAUUUAAUACAAAGCAUUCCUGCAACAUAGAUGGAGCCAGAUAAUCCCAAGAAUCAGAACCUAAGCAGCAGUCAUAAAACUAAUUGUGUUUGCUAUAAAGGGCAAUUUUUUUAAACUCAACAUUCUCAUUAUAUGCAAAUUCUCCUACAGAAAUGGCCAUAUUUUGUAUUUGUGAUUAUGCUGUAGAAAAAACAAAUCUAUAUGGGUCCAGUCCUUAGAAUGGAAAUACAUAUGGGUUAAUAUGUUUAUACAGGCAUUUACUUUUCCCUGAUUUCAAUUCCAUACCCAAUGCUCAAACCACUCCUGCCAUGGGUUUGUACCACACUGCAUCUGAGGAUCAAUGUAUGUGAUAUCUCACUCAAAAUGCUCAGACAGAAAACUAGAGAAGGAUCCUGUACCUUUAAUGGUGGUAUACAAGAGGGAAUUUUAGUGGAUGUUGCUUGUUGAGCAAUCAGGUAACAAAUAGAACCUACUGAAAUCCCCCCUUCUACACAACCAAUUAAGGUAUAGGAGUCCACUCCACUUUUCUCUUUGACAGUGGCUGUCAGGAUAUUUAUUUAUUUCCAACAUUUAUAUCCCGCCCUUCUCACCCGGAGGGAUUCAGGGCAGCAUACACAACUGGCAACAAUUCGACGCCAACACAUAAAUAAACAGGAUACAGGGCUCUAACAGCAUGAAAGCAGAGGUUAACCAAAACAACACCUGGCUUGUGCCAAAUCCUUUUUACUUAAAGCUAUAACUUAAAUACUUGGCCGUUUCAAGAUCCGAUUUCAAAACAUAAUGAUAGCAUACAGCUGAAGAUACAAAGCAAAGUCUCAUUAACAAUGAGCAUACUACAAGCCGACACAGGAUCAAGAAUAAACAGUAGCCAAGGUUUGCAGUCCACGAGUCAAAUGCUGAGAGUUCAUUUAUAAUGUUCCGGGGGCAAGAGUACAAACUGUAGUCAGAGUUCCAGGAGUCGAGCCAGAUAAACAAGAGUCCAGAGCCUAGAGUCCCUUAGUGUAAUGUGCGAGGUUUCAGGAGUACAAACCAUAGUCAAAGUUCCAAAGACCAAGCCAUAUAAGCAAGAGUCCAAGGGAAAUCCAAAAUCCAUAAAUCAAAAGCCAGGAGUCAGGGGAUUCAAAGUACAUCAAGGUCCAUGACAAGAUUAUAAGACCAGCAGUGUUCAAAGCAACGUUCUCACCAAGGUGCAAGGUUCAGCAAGGUACAUCACAAGACUUCACGACACAGGUCAGGAUACCACAGUCCAGCCAACAUCUACACCCAAUUACUACAGAUACCUUUUUCCCCAAACAGCUGUCUCCAACCAGGCUCUUCUUAUGCAGCUGAUCACAGAUGUAUCCUAUCUCCUCAGGCCUCUCCCCUCAUCACUACUGCCUGUGAGUCCUCACAUACAGAUCACUCUGACCUUUAGAACCAGGAGGAAGAUAAAUCUCUUCCAUGCAUUUCAUAGCAGCUACUACCCAUUACCAGCCUGCUAAGCAUGAUACUAUAUUGAACCACCACCAGACUGCCAGACAUUUUAUAUACUAACCACCCCCAAUUGCUAGGCAUGCCACUAUACCACCACCAAGGCACUGCUGGCUUAACGUUUAGAGAAACCUUGCUUCCGUUGC
ensembl:lncRNA